GUUCUUGUAGUCUAAAUAAGGACUCUAGAUUGUGAUUCUAGGGGUGUGUAUCUCCACCAAGGACU
rnacentral:tRNA from 1 species